rnacentral:rRNA from 1 species
UACGUAGGUGGCAAGCGUUGUCCGGAAUUAUUGGGCGUAAAGAGCGUGUAGGCGGCCUGGUAGGUCUGCUGUGAAAACUCGAGGCUCAACCUCGAGAUGUCGGCGGAAACCAUCUGGCUAGAGUCCGGAAGAGGAGAGUGGAAUUCCUGGUGUAGCGGUGAAAUGCGCAGAUAUCAGGAAGAACACCUAUGGCGAAGGCAGCUCUCUGGGACGGUACUGACGCUGAGACGCGAAAGCGUGGGGAGCGAACAGG